rnacentral:rRNA from 1 species
CCUACGGGAGGCAGCAGUGGGGAAUAUUGCACAAUGGGGGAAACCCUGAUGCAGCGACGCCGCGUGAGCGAGGAAGUAUUUCGGUAUGUAAAGCUCUAUCAGCAGGGACGAAAAAAGACGGUACCUGACUAAGAAGCCCCGGCUAACUACGUGCCAGCAGCCGCGGUAAUACGGAGGGGGCAAGCGUUAUCCGGAUUUACUGGGGGUAAAGGGAGCGUAGACGGCCAGGCAAGCCAGAAGUGAAAGGGCAGGGCUCAACCCUGUACCUGCUUUUGGAACGGGGGUGCUAGAGUGCAGGAGAGGUAAGUGGAAUUCGGAGGGGAGCGGGGAAAUGCGUAGAUAUUAGGAGGAACACCAGGGGCGAAGGCGGCUUACGGGACUGUAACUGACGUGGAGGCUCGAAAGCGUGGGGAGCAAACAGGAUUAGAUACCCGUGUAGUC